rnacentral:rRNA from 1 species
UCGAGGAUCUUCGGCAAUGGGCGCAAGCCUGACCGAGCGACGCCGCGUGCGGGAUGAAGGCCUUCGGGUUGUAAACCGCUGUCAGAGGGGAUGAAAUGCGUGGGGGUUCUCCCCCACGUUUGACAUAGCCUCAAAAGAAGUACGGGCUAAGUUCGUGCCAGCAGCCGCGGUAAGACGAACCGUACAAACGUUAUUCGGAAUCACUGGGCUUAAAGGGUGCGUAGGCGGCGGUGCAAGUUGGGUGUGAAAUCCCUCGGCUCAACCGAGGAACUGCGCUCAAAACUGCAUCGCUUGAGGGAGAUAGAGGUGAGUGGAACUUAGGGUGGAGCGGUGAAAUGCGUUGAUAUCCUAAGGAACACCAGUGGCGAAAGCGACUCACUGGGUCUCCACUGACGCUGAGGCACGAAAGCUAGGGUAGCGAACGGGAUUAGAUACCCCCGUAGUCC